rnacentral:rRNA from 1 species
GACGUAGGGGGCCAGCGUUGUUCGGACUUACUGGGUGUAAAGGGUUCGUAGGCGGUGUGGCAAGUUGGGAGUGAACUCUCUGGGCUCAACCCAGAGGCUGCUUCCAAAACUGCUGUGCUUGAGUGUGGGAGAGGCGCGUGGAAUUGCAGGUGUAGCGGUGAAAUGCGUAGAUAUCUGCAGGAACAGCCGUGGCGAAGGCGGUCUCCGGGGGCAUUCUUGACGCUGAGACGCGAAAGCUGGGGGAGAGAACGGG